rnacentral:rRNA from 1 species
GGAUCCGGCACGCCAGAGAUGGUCGCCCCCUUGUGGUCGGUGUACAGGUGGUGCAUGGCUGUCGUCAGCUUGUGUCGUGAGAUGUUGGGUUAAGUCCCGCAACGAGCGCAACCCUUGUUCUGUGUUGCCAGCAUGCCCUUCGGGGUGAUGGGGACUCACAGGAGACUGCCGGGGUCAACUCGGGGGAAGGUGGGGACGACGUCAAGUCAUCAUGCCCCUUAUGUCUUGGGCUGCACACGUGCUACAAUGGCCGGUACAAAGAGCUGCGAAACCGUGAGGUGGAGCGAAUCUCAAAAAGCCGGUCUCAGUUCGGAUUGGGGUCUGCAACUCGACCCCAUGAAGUCGGAGUUGCUAGUAAUCGCAGAUCAGCAUUGCUGCGGUGAAUACGUUCCCGGGCCUUGUACACACCGAAU